GAUGAACGCUGGCGGCGUGCCUAAUACAUGCAAGUCGAGCGAACGGACGAGAAGCUUGCUUCUCUGAUGUUAGCGGCAGACGGGUGAGUAACACGUGGAUAACCUACCUAUAAGACUGGGAUAACUUCGGGAAACCGUAGCUAAUACCGGAUAAUAUUUUGAACCGCAUGGUUCAAAAGUGAAAGACGGUCUUGCUGUCACUUAUAGAUGGAUCCGCGCUGCAUUAGCUAGUUGGUAAGGUAACGGCUUACCAAGGCAACGAUGCAUAGCCGACCUGAGAGGGUGAUCGGCCACACUGGAACUGAGACACGGUCCAGACUCCUACGGGAGGCAGCAGUAGGGAAUCUUCCGCAAUGGGCGAAAGCCUGACGGAGCAACGCCGCGUGAGUGAUGAAGGUCUUCGGAUCGUAAAACUCUGUUAUUAGGGAAGAACAUAUGUGUAAGUAACUGUGCACAUCUUGACGGUACCUAAUCAGAAAGCCGCGGCUAACUACGUG
rnacentral:rRNA from 1 species